UGUCUGUAAGAGGAAGGGGCCAGCUGCCCACGGGACAGAAGCAGCUGUCUGGCCUCCCCAGGCUGGUGGCCAGGGGGCUGCCUUCCCCAUCAGGGGUGGCACCCACUCAGAGUACUUUUGCUUUUGAGACUCAGCCGGACGUCUGUUUUGGGUGAAAGGAUGCACGCUCUUCCUUCCCUCCCAGGAUGCCCCUGUUUCAGGCUCUCUGCAGCAGUCCUGCCUUGAAUUGGCUGUGUGAUCUAAGGCUGGUCACUUCACCUCUCUGGUUAUCCAUAUCCUCAUCCAUAGAAUGGAGAUAAUCAUUCUCACCACUGAGGGAUGCUGCGAGGAUUGGGCAAGGCCACAAGUUCUGGAGGCUGGAAAGCUCAAUGUUGAGGUGGCUGGCAGAUUUGAUGUCUUGUGAGGAUCCAUUUCCUGCGUGACCUUUUAGCAUGUUUGGCCUCUUCUGUGAUCCUGAAGUCACGUUUGACACUGGCGGCAUCCACAUCCAUUGGAUGGAAAGCUUCUCCAAGCAGGGGCCUCUCCCUUCCUCUUUACAGAGCCCAGCAUGCAGGAAGUGUGCAGCAUGUGUCUGUUCCUAGGUGGACAAAUGCAUCCUUGAACGAGGAGCUGGCACCUCUCUUUUGAAGAUCCGUUUAUUUCAUGUCAUGUAAGGCAUUGUUUCUGAAACUAUGGCUAAAUUUAGACUUUCCUUCUGCUGGGAGUCAUGGGAUGGGUUAGAAAUUUAUUCCUAGCCAGGCAUAGUGGCUCACGCCUGUAAUCCCAGUGUUUUGGGAGACUGAGGAGGGAGGGUGGCUUCAGCCCAAGAGUUCUAGACAAGUUUGGGCAACAUAGCAAGA